UACGUAGGGGGCUAGCGUUGUCCGGAAUCAUUGGGCGUAAAGCGCACGUAGGCGGAUCUUUAAGUCAGGGGUGAAAUCCUGGAGCUCAACUCCAGAACUGCCUUUGAUACUGGGGAUCUCGAGUCCGGAAGAGGUGAGUGGAACUCCGAGUGUAGAGGUGAAAUUCGUAGAUAUUCGGAAGAACACCAGUGGCGAAGGCGGCUCACUGGUCCGGUACUGACGCUGAGGUGCGAAAGCGUGGGGAGCAAACAGG
rnacentral:rRNA from 1 species